ACGAACGCUGGCGGCGUGCUUAACACAUGCAAGUCGAGCGGUAAGGCCCUUUCGGGGGUACACGAGCGGCGAACGGGUGAGUAACACGUGGGUGACCUGCCCUCAGCUCUGGGAUAAGCCUGGGAAACCGGGUCUAAUACUGGAUAUGACUCCAUGACGCAUGUUGUGGGGUGGAAAGCCUUGUGCGGCUGAGGAUGGGCCCGCGGCCUAUCAGCUUGUUGGUGGGGUGANGGCCUACCAAGGCGACGACGGGUAGCCGGCCUGAGAGGGCGACCGGCCACACUGGGACUGAGACACGGCCCAGACUCCUACGGGAGGCAGCAGUGGGGAAUCUUGCGCAAGUGGGACGAAAGCCUGACGCAGCGACGCCGCGUGAGGGA
rnacentral:rRNA from 1 species